rfam:Daphnia pulex DAPPTscaffold_630_Cont10374, whole genome shotgun sequence.
GGUCGUGUGACCUAAUGGAUAAGGCGUCGGUUUCUAUGAAAGUAGUUAUCCGAAAAUAGCGGGUUCGAGUCCCGCCACGAUUA